rnacentral:rRNA from 1 species
GACGAACGCUGGCGGCGCGCUUAACACAUGCAAGUCGAACGGAAAGGCCUGCUUUCCCUUGUGGAUUGCGGGUACACGAGUGGCGAACGGGUGAGUAACACGUGAGUGAUCUGCCCCCAACUUGGGUAUAAGCCUGGGAAACUGGGUCUAAUUCCCGAUAGGACUGCAGGGUGGUGCCUGCGGUGGAAAACGAUUUUCUAGUGGUUGGGGAUGAGCUGGCGGCCUUUCAGCGUGUUGGCGAGGUAAUGGCCUACCAAGGCGGCGACGGGUAGCCAGCGUGAGAGCGGGGACAGCCGCAUUGGGACUGGGUCCCGGCCCAGACGCGAGCGAGAGGCAGCGGUUGGGGAUAUAGCAGAAUGGGCCUAAGCCUGCUGUAGCGCCGCUGCGUGGGAGAUCUCGGGCUUCGGAUUGUAAACUCCUUGCGACCGAGAGGAAUCCACCUAGUUGUAACGGUGGUGACGGUAGUGGUAGAAGAAGCACCGGCUAACUACGUG